rnacentral:rRNA from 1 species
GACGAACGCUGGCGGCGUGCUUAACACAUGCAAGUCGAACGGAAAGGCCCUGCUUUUGUGGGGUGCUCGAGUGGCGAACGGGUGAGUAACACGUGAGUAACCUGCCCUUGACUUUGGGAUAACUUCAGGAAACUGGGGCUAAUACCGGAUAGGAGCUCCUGCUGCAUGGUGGGGGUUGGAAAGUUUCGGCGGUUGGGGAUGGACUCGCGGCUUAUCAGCUGGUUGGUGGGGUAGUGGCUUACCAAGGCUUUGACGGGUAGCCGGCCUGAGAGGGUGACCGGCGACAUUGGGACUGAGAUACGGCCCAGACUCCUACGGGAGGCAGCAGUGGGGAAUAUUGCACAAUGAGCGGAAGCGUGAUACAGCAACGCCGCGUGCGGGAUGACGGCCUUCGGGUUGUAAACCGCUUUCGACUGUGACGAAGCGUGAGUGACAGUAAUGAGUAAAGAAGCACCGGCUAACUACGUG